rnacentral:misc_RNA from 1 species
GAAAUGGAAAACGGCGCUCAGCAAGCACCGGACUCCUCAAAGCUACCGUCACCUCCGAUACCUAAAGUCGGCGUAGCGGUGUUCCUUUUGAAAGGAAGUAAAGUUCUGUUGGGGAAACGCCUCUCCGCCGUCGGCCAUAGCACCUUUGCACUUCCCGGCGGCCACCUGGAGUUCGGGGAAAGUUUUGAAGAGUGCGCAACGAGGGAGGUGAAGGAGGAAACAGGAUUAGAAAUUGAUAAAACCGAGUUUCUAACAGUGACUAACAAUGUCAUCUCAGAGAAAGUGCACAUCGUUUGCGUAUUCGUCAGAGCAGUCCCUGCUGAUGUUAACCAGAAGCCUGAAACACUUGAACCUGAUAAAUGUGCUGGUUGGGAUUGGUAUGAAUGGAACAAUCUCCCUAAACCACUCUUUGGUCCUUUAGAAGAUAUGGUCCAAAGUGGUUUCAAUCCUUUUCCAACUACUUGAUAGUUAACUGAUUUGCUAAGUAUCUAGGAUUCAAUCUUGCUAGGAUUGAUCACGAGUUCGAGCUGUGGAAUCAAUCCUUGAUGUUUGUGUUAGGGUAGUCUGUCUACAUUACACCCCUAAUGGUACAGUCGUUCCACCGACCUUACAUAAUAGUGGAAUGCUUUGAGCAUCAGACUUCCCCAACACGGGUGUUUUGGUUUUGUAAUGACAAUUGAUUCUUG